AUGGAUGGAGGAUGGGGAAUACAUGCAGAAGGCGGAAGCUCCAUGCUCAGCUCAGCUCUCAACUACACUGCUCUAAGACUACUUGGUGAGAAUGUCGAUGAUGAGCAAGAUAUGUCCGUGCCAAAAACAAGGAAAUGGAUACAUGACCAUGGUGGUGCAAUGAUGAUAAAACUGGAAGCAAGAUGCUUGGAUUUUUUGACAGGUCAGGAAUGUUCCAGAAUUUGUGAAUCUUACUGUACAACAAUCAACACGAAUGCUGAAACAUUGAUUCUUGCUGAAGGUGACAAUGCUAGAUACAUCUGUAUCAUGGCACUUCUCCAGCAAACAAAAGCUUGGUGGCCAUCUACUUUACUUCCAGAGAGUUUGAAAACUGCUUACUUUCUUACCCCCUUCAAACCUGAGUUGCGGGUUACCGAACCUGAUGAAAACGGAAGUCACUCCGGCAGAGAUGUAGUGUUGUGCCAAUUUGAGGUUGAUGGGGUUAAUGAGGAAAAGGAUUAUGAACUAUGUGUAGAAAUUACCCAGUAUUGCUAUGCCAAGAAAGCAAGAUAG
rnacentral:rRNA from 1 species